AUAAAUACAGUGAAGGAGACAUAUGCCUGUAAACAGGGUCAAGAGAGCUCGUGGUCGGUGUAAACGGGUCGAAUGGAUACAGGUAGAUCACUCUGGAGUAGCCUAUUCGAAAGUGUGAGGGUAGUGCCGUUAGUCGCGUUAAGAUAUGAGUGCAUACGUCAGUAUGAAUAAAGGUGGUACCGCGUUAUAGACGUCCUUUAG
rnacentral:ncRNA from 1 species